GUGGGGAAUAUUGGACAAUGGGGGGAACCCUGAUCCAGCCAUGCCGCGUGUGUGAAGAAGGCCUUUUGGUUGUAAAGCACUUUAAGCGAGGAGGAGGCUACCGAGAUUAAUACUCUUGGAUAGUGGACGUUACUCGCAGAAUAAGCACCGGCUAACUCUGUGCCAGCAGCCGCGGUAAUACAGAGGGUGCGCGCGUUAAUCGGAUUUACUGGGCGUAAAGCGUGCGUAGGCGGCUUUUUAAGUCGGAUGUGAAAUCCCUGAGCUUAACUUAGGAAUUGCAUUCGAUACUGGAAAGCUAGAGUAUGGGAGAGGAUGGUAGAAUUCCAGGUGUAGCGGUGAAAUGCGUAGAGAUCUGGAGGAAUACCGAUGGCGAAGGCAGCCAUCUGGCCUAAUACUGACGCUGUGGUACGAAAGCAUGGGGAGCAAACAGGAUUAGAAACCCUUGUAGUCC
rnacentral:rRNA from 1 species